CAGCCGUAAACUAUGCGCGUUAGGUGUAUCGGUGACCACGAGUUACCGAGGUGCCGAAGGGAAACCGUGAAACGUGCCGCCUGGGAAGUACGGUCGCAAGGCUGAAACUUAAAGGAAUUGGCGGGGGAGCACCACAACAGGUGGAGCCUGCGGUUUAAUUGGACUCAACGCCGGGAAGCUCACCGGAUAGGACAGCAAAAUGAUUGCCGGGCUGAAGACCCUGCAUGACUAGCUGAGAGGUGGUGCAUGGCGUCAGUGACU
rnacentral:rRNA from 1 species